rnacentral:misc_RNA from 1 species
UGAAACCGGCAGUAAUAGUUCAGCAGACUCAUCGUCUUCAUCUCUUAAGCUACUUUCCACAGCUCUUUUUGAGCAAUAAGAUGAAAAUUUCGGCAUCAGCAGUGAUUGUUUUUCUGGUUUGCAUGAUGGCUUCGGCCAAUGCUGCAAGACCACAACAUCCAUUUAUGCAUAAGCCCCGUCCAUUGGCAAGCAACAGCAACGUCAACAUCAACACCAACACGAAUGACAACACCAACUACAACCUCAUCAGCUCCCUUUUGUCUCAACUGACCGGCAACGAGGAACAAAACGACUGUGUUUACGGCGACUUCUCUUGCUUCGAGAAAAUGUUGGGGGCUAAAGGGGCUAAAGGUCUUGCUAAGGAGAAGCCAGAGACGACCCCAGAAAACGAGGACAAUGAUGUUCCUGAAGAGGACAACACAGAGAUCUUGGGCUUAGAAAAAAUGUCCGAUGUUAAUUCAAAGCGUCGCCCCUUGAGACCUACUCGCCUUUCUAGAACAAGCAACUACAACGUUAAUUCCAACAGCAACACCAACUCUAACAAUGACUUGAGCUCUAUUUUAGCAUCUCUCGAGCAGUUUCUUGAUUUGGACAUUAAGAAACGUGCUGCCAAAGCAGCCCCCGCCAUCGCUGCAGAAUGAAUAGUUUCCAAAACUGCUGGUGGAAACGGAAUAUUUCUUCAAUAACGAAAUUCGACAACAGGAAAAACGACUUCAUGCUUUUAAUUAUUAUUAUUAUUUUACUUUUUUUUUUUUUUUUUUUUACAAAUAUUUGAUUGGCUCUAGUGUUUUAGGUUUUGUUUAAAAAUCAUGUCGUUUUUUCAUAAUGUUCUCCGUUAUGUGGACA